UUCGCAAUGGGCGCCAGCCUGACGACGCAACGCCGCGUGGAGGAUGAAGGUCUUCGGAUUGUAAACUCCUGUUGCCCGGGACGAAUAGCUCCGACCUAACACGUCGGAGUGUGACGGUACCGGGUGAGGAAGCCCCGGCUAACUCUGUGCCAGCAGCCGCGGUAAUACAGAGGGGGCAAGCGUUGUUCGGAAUUACUGGGCGUAAAGGGCGCGUAGGCGGCCAGCGCAAGUCAGUUGUGAAAUCUCCGAGCUUAACUCGGAAAGGUCAACUGAUACUGCGCGGCUAGAGUGCGGAAGGGGCAACUGGAAUUCUUGGUGUAGCGGUGAAAUGCGUAGAUAUCAAGAGGAACACCUGCGGCGAAGGCGGGUUGCUGGGCCGACACUGACGCUGAGGCGCGAAAGCUAGGGGAGCGAACGGGAUUAGAUACCCCGGUAGUCCUAGCCUUAAACGAUGAAUGCUUGGUGUCUGGGGUUAUAAAGUCCCCGGGUGCCGUCGCUAACGCUUUAAGCAUUCCGCCUGGGGAGUACGGUCGCAAGACUGAAACUCAAAGGAAUUGACGGGGACCCGCACAAGCGGUGGAGCAUGUGGUUUAAUUCGACGCAACGCGAAGAACCUUACCUGGGCUAGAAUGCCUCUGACAACCCUAGAGAUAGGGCCUUCUGGGUAAAACCAGACAGAGUGCAAGGUGCUGCAUGGCUGUCGUUCAGCU
rnacentral:rRNA from 1 species